rnacentral:rRNA from 1 species
GAUGAACGCUAGCUACAGGCUUGACACAUGCAAGUCGAGGGGAAACGACAUUGGAAGCUUGCUUCCGAUGGGCGUCGACCGGCGCACGGGUGAGUAACGCGUAUCCAACCUGCCCAUCACUUGGGGAUAACCUUGCGAAAGUAAGACUAAUACCCAAUGAUAUCUCUAGAAGACAUCUGAAAGGGAUUAAAGAUUUAUCGGUGAUGGAUGGGGAUGCGUCUGAUUAGCUUGUUGGCGGGGUAACGGCCCACCAAGGCGACGAUCAGUAGGGGUUCUGAGAGGAAGGUCCCCCACAUUGGAACUGAGACACGGUCCAAACUCCGACGGGAGGCAGCAGUGAGGAAUAUUGGUCAAUGGGCGAGAGCCUGAACCAGCCAAGUAGCGUGCAGGAUGACGGCCCUAUGGGUUGUAAACUGCUUUUAUAAGGGAAUAAAGUGAGUCUCGUGAGACUUUUUGCAUGUACCUUAUGAAUAAGGACCGGCUAAUUCCGUGCCAGCCGCCGCAGUAA